AAUACAAAGCUGUUCUUUAAUAAGUGCUGUAAGCAUUUUGCAGUUUUCUAGGGAAGAAAAGAAAUAAGCUACUGGAGAAUGGGGCAGCGGGCUGGCAUGUGAACAAGACUGCCCCAGUCUGCUGAGGGGCCUUCUCAGGCCUUUGUUCCAGGGUUCAUCAAGACAGUCAGCUCCAGCGCUCAACCCAUAAGGGAGUAUCCCUUCUCUCCCACCUCCGGGACCACAGAGGUCUCUUGUCACUCAGUGUGCUAGGUAAGAGUUCAGGAGACCUUGUUUUAGUCCGGCCUCUGCAGCGGGCCUAUUGUGUGCCUCGGAGCAAAGCCGUUCUUUUCUGGGCCUGUUUCCUGCACAGUACAUAAGGUAGGACUCAGAAGUUUUCCAAACCUCUUCCUAUCUGCCCACUGCAAAAUUCUCUUCCUGUAGCGACAUGUCAAGUUUAUCCUGUCUAAUCCUAGCAAGAAUUUCUAGAGAUCUCCGUGGUCUGCCCCAGCAGUGGCACCGAACUCUACAGCGCCAUGCCAGGAAGGCCUUUGUCCUUCCAGGGUGCCAGUAAUUUACCCUCACAGGGUGUCACGUUAUCAGCGCAGAGACAGCAACCUGCUCGGGCGUGCCCCGCCGCAGUUUAGAGUCCCGCUCCACCUGGCGGUCUGGGGACACAUUCCUGGGAGGGAAACCUCGGGCGUAGGAGAGAAGGGCGAAGUCCGACCAUGGAUCAGCGGAGAGUAUCCGCCCGUGAUGACGUGAACUGCAAGCUAUCUCGCUUGCAAGUUCCGUAAACGCCCGGGAAGGGAGCUCCUGGGGGCGGGACCAGCACUGAAGCCCCACCCAGAGCUGACGUCGCGGGCGGAGGCGGAGCUAAGCGCGCAGCAUCUGGGUACUGGCUGACCGCUCGGCGCCAUGGCCGCGGACACGCGCGCCAAGGCCGUCACUCUGGACCUGAGACGUCGGCUGCUCAGCUCUUCCUGCAGACUCUUUUUUCCUGAGGAUCCUGUUAAGAUUAUCCGAGGCCAAGGGCAGUACCUGUACGAUGAGCAAGGGCGAGAGUACCUGGACUGUAUCAACAACGUGGCUCAUGAUGCCCCUCUUGCAGUUGGGCACUGCCACCCUACCGUGGUCCAAGCCGCACAUGAACAGAACCUAGUGCUCAACACCAACAGCCGCUACCUGCAUGACAACAUCGUGGACUAUGCCCAGAGGCUGUCGGAGACCCUGCCGGAGCAGCUCUCUGUGUUUUACUUCUUGAAUUCUGGGUCAGAAGCCAACGACCUGGCCUUGAGACUAGCUCGACAGUACACGGGACACCAGGAUGUGGUGGUAUUAGACCAUGCUUAUCAUGGUCACCUGAGCUCCCUGAUCGACAUCAGUCCCUACAAGUUCCGGAAUCUGGGUGGCCAGAAGGAAUGGGUCCAUGUGGCUCCUCUCCCAGACACCUACCGGGGCCCUUACAGGGAGGACCACCCCAACCCAGCAGAGGCCUAUGCCAACGAGGUGAAGCACGUCAUCAGCAGUGCACAGCAGAAGGGCAGGAAGACAGUUCUAAAGAACCAAUUUCCCAAGAUGACCAUAGUGGAGCAUGCCUUUAAUCCAGCACUUGGGAGACAGACAUAAGAAGAUCUCUGAGUUCAAGGCCAGCCUGGUCUACAGAGUGAGUUCAAUAUAGCCAGGGCUAUACAAAGAAACCCUGUCUCGAAAAACCAAAAGAUAAGUAAAUAUAAAAGAAGCAAUUUCCCAUUCCAUCAGCUGUCCAAUGUGCCAGAGAAGCCUCCAAAAAAGCCCCAAGAGUAAACACUAUGCGGAAAUCACACAUGGGUAAAGGGUUUUAGGUUAGACAGAUAUGCCCUCCAUGUCUGGAUUGAAGCAUCCUGAGAGCAAUAUGAAAAACAGAAAAAGGCAUCCCAUAAGACAGCAUCUUCAGUAGCCAGGGACAAGAAGUGGACUCAGAUGUGACAGCCAUGAGACAAUGGGGGUCACCAAGACAUGUUAAAGGAAGGUGUAGUUAAGGAUAGAACUACAUUUUUGUUCUAGGGAGGGUGAAACUAGUGCUGGUUACCACAUGGAGACAGGGGAGAAAAGGUUUAAGGUGGUGGUGGGUUGCAUAUGUGAAUUUAAUUGACUGGAGCAAGCCCAAGUACAAGGGGCUAGAGACAUUAAGAGGGUGAUGCAUACCCUUAGAUGUGACACAGCACGCAAAGGAAGGGGCACUGAACUGUCUCAUCCACAGAUCGCAGCCUUCUUCGCUGAGUCUCUGCCCAGUGUGAGUGGACAGAUCAUUCCUCCUGCUGGCUACUUCUCCCAGGUGGCUGAGUGAGUAGACGGGCAGGCUCUGCCCAAGGGAGGGCAAACUGUACCUGGGUUUCCUGGGGUCAAUUCCAAAUCCCAACUACAGUCCAGCCUGCCUGCCAGAAAUUUCUGAAACAAAACCCGUAAAGAAAUAAUGGCCCAGAGAAGGCCAACCAUAGGCCCAAGGUGAGGACUCAACCUCCCAGCUCCUUGUCACCUCAGCACAGCCCUGUUGGCCAUCUGUCCUCCACAGGCACAUCCACAGAGCCGGAGGGCUCUUUGUGGCAGAUGAGAUCCAGGUUGGUUUUGGCCGCAUAGGCAAGCACUUUUGGGCCUUCCAGCUGGAGGGAGAAGACUUUGUUCCCGACAUUGUCACCAUGGGCAAGUCCAUCGGCAAUGGUCACCCUGUUGCCUGCAUGGCCACUACCCAAGCUGUGUCAAGGGCAUUUGAAGCUACCGGUGUAGAAUACUUCAACACGGUGAGUAAAGUUGCAGGACAGGGCUCUACUACUGAAGCCUUCAGGGCUUACCACUGGACCCAGCAUACCAUCCUCCAGGAAGCUGCAGUUAGGGCAAGUUUUUUUGUAUAUGAGAAGGAAACGGACAGACACUCACUGUGUAGCCCUGACUGGACUGGCCUCAAGAUCCACCUAUCUGCCUCUCAAGUGCUACAAUUAAAGGUGUAUGUUAUCUCACCUGGCCCAAGUUAGAUGCUACUUUGACUCCUAAGGUUUCCUUCUCAGAGACGUGGAAACUUUUCUGGUGGUCAGCAUAGAGGAACUAAUGGAGUAGGAGAUUCAUCUGGACAGAGCAGGAAAGGAGCUGGGUAGUCACCAUGACUUCCCAUAAAAAGCCAAUUGAAUCCCCCCCACCCCCUGCCCCCAAAAACAGGGUUUCUCUGUGUAGCCCUGGCUGUCCUGGAACUCACUCUGUAGACCAGGCUGGCCUUGAACUCGGAAAUCCACCUGCCUCUGCCUCCCAAGUGCUGGGAUUAAAGGUGUGGGCCACCACCGCCUGUCUGCCAAUUGAAUUUUUUUUUUUAAAGACUUAUUAUAUAUAAAUACACUGUAGCUGUCUUCAGGCACUCCAGAAGAGGGCGUCAGAUCUCGUUAUGGAUGGUUGUGAGCCACCAUGUGGUUGCUGGGAUUUGAACUCAGGACCUUUGGAAGAGCAGUCAGUGCUCUUAUCCACUGAGCCAUCUCACCAGCCCGCCAAUUGAAUGUUUAAGGAAGUAAGCAUUUGGCAAGAUGUCAGACAAGCAAUGAGGGUCACUGAGCAAGGGAAGUGGAGACUGGUCUGGUUUUUUUCAGCAGACUUUACUCUGCCUAAGUGACAGUCUCUGCCAUUGGUGGCCUUGAUGUUAGGGAAUCACAAUUCCUAAACUCAAUUGUGAUACUAGCUUAGUGGGCACAGUGUGUCAUGGUCCACUAUGAGCAGAAGAGACAUCCCAGGCAGGAAGUGGACAUAGGGUUUAGGGACAAGUAGAGGGAACAGAGAAGUCAGGAGCAAAGUCUGUAGGCAAGCAAUAGUUAGCCAGCUACAGAGGCUUGUUACCUGGAAAGCAGAAGGCCCAAUGGGCCCUGACCCUGACUCCCCUAAGUGCAUAAGCUGAAUUCAGUCCUUGUCUUUGUAUAGCCCUCCUCUAGUUAGCUGGGUACUUGGUUAUUUCUGUUAAGGCUUUUUACAUUUAUUUGUAUAUGAGUGCAUAUGUGGUUACACACGUGUAGAAAUCAGAGGUCAUUGGUUCCUUCUGGGGAUCUAAUGCAGUCCACCAGGUUUGGCAACAGGCACUUUAACCAGAUGAGCUACCUCACUGGCUCUGUUUUACUUAAACUCAUGAGAAGUUCUCACCUCAGACUAGGCUCCUGACUCUACCUUGCAUCUAUCCUAGCAUUUGUCCCUUAGCAGGUAACCCUGAACCCAUUUGAACCCAUGUUGUCUGUUCUAGUUGCUUUUUGGCUUUACUUGAACUCUCAUAAUGCAUGCUAACUCUAGAGAUUCUGUGGAUUUGUCUUCACCUGACAUUACACUGUUUGUUACUCUCAUUUCCCCUGCUUUAUAAAUAACAUCCACACUUGACUUACUCAUAGAUAUAAAUGUGCCUUGAGGCUGUCCUUCUGUCUUGUGAACAUCGCUACUGUAAGAAUUCUUAACAGCCUGUUCUCCAUGUGCAGAAAGAUCAGUUACAAACUAACCCAGAGGUGGAACUGCUAGGCCAGAGGGUGUGUCUAGACUCAGUUUUAGAAGAUAAUGACAUUUUCCCCAAGUAGUUUACAGGUCAAAACAAAUCACCAGUAGUGUAUUGUUUGGGGCUUGUUUUGUGACUCUUAUUGUGAAGAUCACCUGACUUGAUGGCAAUCUUCCUGUCCCAGCUGAGCACACACUACAGGAAUCCUUCAUCCAACUCAUCAACACUAAGUUUUUGUCAGUCAAGGGAAGUCAAGGGAAAUAGGAAAUAGUGAUCCAUGUCAUGUCGUUUUGAUGUUCCCCAAAUUCAGAUUGUGAAGCAUCCCUUGAUUUAUAGUUUUAAUAGAUUUUAUGUACUUUGUUGUGUACCUGAAAGACAGUAACUUGCAGGAAUCAGUUUUCUCCUUCCAUCAAUGUGGGUUUCACAGAUAGAACUUCAGGCCUCUUUUUCCAGUCCUCUUCCAGUUUACUAUCCACGUGUUCCCUCUUCUGUGAAAUAAUGUUGUGUGUCUUUUUUCCAUUCUCUAGUUGCUAGUGGUUGUGGAAACUUCUGUGUAUAUGCAUGUCUGUUUGUCUGUCUCUGUGUAGAAUGGGGAGAUACCCAUUUGAGGACAACAAUCUAGGCGAGGUUAGUGUCUUGUUUUAGUGUAUGCUGUGCAUAUGUUUAGCCAGUUGGCAGCAGUCUUCACUUCCUUAUAUAUAUUUUUAAGAAACCACAUAAACAUUAACUUUCAAUCAUCUUUUUGUUUUUGAGACCGAUUUAUGUUAGAACUUAAUAUGUAGACCAGGCAGCUUCAAACUCAGAUCUUCCUGCUUCUGCCUCCCAAAUUCUGGGAUUAAAAGCAUACACUACCAUGCUACUCGGUACAUUUGGCUUUUUACUUUAAUUCCAGGAAUCAAACUCAUUGGGCUUGCAUGGCUCUUACAGAGCUCCCUGGCCAUCAGUUUUAUAUGAAACCAGGUAUGGUGGUGCAUACCUUUAAAUCCAGCACUCAGGAGGAGGCAGAGGUAGAUGGCCUACAUGAGUUCUAGUGAAGUCCUACCUCAAAAUAAAUAAAUAAAGGUAAAAAAAAUACAUUUUAGAUGAUCCAAUUUGUCAAAUUUGGGGGAGGGGAGGAGGGUAAUUGUUGCUUAUCCUUUAAGGAAUCACUACUUAACCGCAAAAGAAAAAAAAAAUCCUAUGUAAAAGUAGCUAUCUUACUAACCUGGCUGUGAGGCACUUACAAUACAGUUGAAUAACUUCAGGGCACUGAACAUCCUGUUCAAUGCAUGGAAAUGUUUAUAUUUAUCUGUCUACAAUGAUGUUUGUAGGCUCAAAUUGUAGCUCAGUAGUACAGCACAUGUUUAGCAAGUACAAAGCCCUUGGUUUGUUUGAUUUCAGAAUCACAAGAAACAUCUUAAUACAUCAGGGCAGUGCUAACGCCCAAAUACUCUGCCACUAAGCUACAUCCCUUAGGUUGUAUCUUGUUCUCCUCCUUCCUAACACAGUCAAACACACAAAAGACAAAAUCAAACAAAUCCAUGAAGGACAAGAGAGUUCAGUCCAUAAAGCAGUUUGCCCUGCAAACAGGAGGACCAAGAACCCAUAUUAAAAAAACAAAAAAAACAAAAAAAAGCCAAGCUUUGUGGCACAGGCCUGUAAUCUCAGAACAAGGAAGGCAGUGACUGGGUUCCUGGGCUUGCUACACAGCCAGCAUAGUCUCUAAGUAUAGCCCGAGGUCCUAGUGAGAGAUUGUCCCCAAAACCAAGAUGGAUGUCUCCUGUUAACAUCCACAUCCAAGGUUAGGUUGGCAUUUCAUUUCUGCACCCAUAUGGAAUAUAUGCACACACACAUUUUGAAACAGGGUCUCACUAAAAACUGUUUGGGCUGGACCUAUGUGGACCAGCCACCUGCCUCUGCCUCUUGAAUGUUGCCGACAUUAAAUGCUUGCCCCUCACUAGGUCCUACUUCUUUCCCUUUUAAGACAGGGUUUCUCUGUGUAGCCUUAGCUGUCAUUCAGGAAUUAAAUCUGCAGACCAGGCUGGCCUCAAAAUCAGAGAUCCAAAAGCAUCUCCUUUCUGAGUGCAGGUAUUGAAGGCAUGUGCCAACACUGUCAAAUCCCCAAACCAUUGUCCAUUGGCUUGUUUAGCUUUUCAAAAGAUUUGGGAGGGGGGUUUACCCAUGUACCACUGACAUGCCUGGUGUCUAGAGGCAAGGAGACAGGGCUAGACCAGUUCUCUCUAGGUAUCUUGCUACCUGGCUAAGUUGAAGACCCAGGAAGACAAACAGAGUUCAUAAAGACAAUCCCAUCCAAGAGACCAGUUUAAGAAAGCCCGAAGUAUGAAGGCUUUGUGGGUCUGUGGCCUUCCCAAUUGUCCUUUUAUGAUAAUCCCACGGGAUCACAGUCCACUGGCAGAACAUCUGACAUUGUUAUCCCCUACCUCAGUUUGGUGGCAACCCCGUAUCCUGUGCUGUGGGGCUAGCAGUCCUAGAUGUCUUGAAAACAGAACAGCUCCAGGCUCACGCCACUAAUGUGGGCAGUUUCCUUCUGGAGCACCUCACCCAGCAGAAAGCCAAGCACCCUAUCAUUGGAGAUGUCAGGGGCACUGGACUCUUCAUCGGUGUGGAUCUCAUCAAAGAUGAGACCCUGAGGACACCAGCAACUGAAGAGGCGGAAUAUUUGGUCUCCAGGCUAAAGGAAAACUACAUUUUACUGAGCAUUGAUGGCCCUGGAAAGAAUAUUCUGAAGUUCAAGCCCCCAAUGUGCUUCAACGUUGACAAUGCACAACAUGUGGUAGCAAAGCUGGAUGACAUUCUAACAGACAUGGAAGAAAAAGUAAGAAGUUGUGAAACCCUGAGGAUCAAGCACCCCCCAGAAGAUACUCAUCCUACUCAAAUACUCCUAACAAGACAGCAAGAUUGACACCCACCUUACAGAUAAAACAAGUGUGUGAGGCUUCACUGGAUUGGUGAACUACUGAUAGGCUUUAUUUCUAAAUCAAAACAAGACCCAGUCAGACUUUUAUGCCUGAAAACUUUGAGGAUGGUGUACAUGCUUCAAAAGAACAUGUUUUAAAGACAGACCUGACAUACUCCCAUUUUUAAAAAAAAAAAAAAAAGGUAAAAAAUGAGCUGGCCAUGGCACAUGCCUUUAGUCUCAUCUCACUGGGAGGUAGAAACAGGCAGAACUCUUAAGUUUGAGACCAGCCUGGUUUUGUAUAGGGCAGCCAGGGCAGCAGUACGGUGAUCUCUCAAAAGGGGGUGGAAAGAUAAACUUUAUCUCUCCCUAUCAAGCUAUGACUUUUAUUUCAUCUGAAUUAAAGACACUGAAUAAUUUGAGUAUUUA